CCAAUAGCGUAUAUUAAAGUUGUUGCAGUUAAAAAGCUCGUAGUUGAAUUUCGGGGUUAGUAGGUUGGUCAUGCCUCUGGUAUGUACUGGUCUCACUGAUUCCUCCUUCCUGAUGAACCUUAAUGCCAUUAAUUUGGUGUUUUGGGGAAUUUGGACUGUUACUUUGAAAAAAUUAGAGUGUUUAAAGCAAGCUAACGCUUGAAUACAUUAGCAUGGAAUAAUGAAAUAGGACGUUCGAUCCUAUUUUGUUGGUUUCUAGGAUUGACGUAAUGAUUAAUAGGGAUAGUUGGGGGCAUUAGUAUUCAAUUGUAAGAGGUGAAAUUCUUGGAUUUAUUGAAGACUAACUACUGCGAAAGCAUUUGCCAAGGAUGUUUUCAUUAAUCAAGAACGAAAGUUAGGGGAUCGAAGACGAUCAGAUACCGUCGUAGUCUUAACCAUAAACUAUGCCGACUAGGGAUCGGAUGAUGUUAAUUUUUUAAUGACUCAUUCGGCGCCUUACG
rnacentral:rRNA from 1 species